rnacentral:rRNA from 1 species
GAUUUCUGGUCAGAUGCGCCUGGCCCGUCCUCGCAAGAGGUACGUGUGCUGGCGUGCGUCGGCCAUCAUUGUAGGAGUGACCGUAUCCUUUACUGGACUGCGGCUCGCGUUCUACAUCAUUUACUUUGAGUAAAUCUGAGUGCUCAACGCAGGCUUGCGCUAUGAAAGAUAUAGCAUGGAAUAAUAAUUUAGGACUUUGUUUCUAUUUUGUUGGUUUCUAGGAAUGAAGUAAUGAUUGAUAGGGAUAGUUGGGGGUGCUAGUAUUCAGCGGCCAGAGGUGAAAUUCUCGGAUUCGCUGAAGACUAACUUAUGCGAAAGCAUU